AGUCGUAACAAGGUUUCCGUAGGUGAACCUGCGGAAGGAUCAUUAAUGAAUUUUAGGACGUUCUUUUUAGAAGUCCGACCCUUUCAUUUUCUUACACUGUGCACACACUUCUUUUUUACACACACUUUUAACACCUUAGUAUAAGAAUGUAAUAGUCUCUUAAUUGAGCAUAAAUAAAAACAAAACUUUCAGCAACGGAUCUCUUGGCUCUCGCAUCGAUGAAGAACGCAGCGAAUUGCGAUAAGUAAUGUGAAUUGCAGAAUUCAGUGAAUCAUCGAAUCUUUGAACGCACCUUGCACUCUUUGGUAUUCCGAAGAGUAUGUCUGUUUGAGUGUCAUGAAACUCUCAACCCCCCUACUUUGUAAUGAGAUGGGUGUGGGCUUGGAUUAUGGUUGUCUGUCGGCGUAAUUGCCGGCUCAACUGAAAUACACGAGCAACCCUAUUGAAAUAAACGGUUUGACUUGGCGUAAUAAUUACUUCGCUAAGGACGUUUUCUUCAAAUAUAAGAGGUGCUUCUAAUUCGCUUCUAAUAGCAUUUAAGCUUUAGACCUCAAAUCAGUCAGGACUACCCGCUGAACUUAAGCAUAUCAAUAAAAAGUCG
rnacentral:rRNA from 1 species